rnacentral:rRNA from 1 species
UCUAAUCAUGGCAAGUCGAGCGGACAGAUGGGGAGCUUGCUCCCUGAUGUUAGCGGCGGACGGGUGAGUAACACGUGGGUAACCUGCCUGUAAGACUGGGAUAACUCCGGGAAACCGGGGCUAAUACCGGAUGGUUGUUUGAACCGCAUGGUUCAAACAUAAAAGGUGGCUUCGGCUACCACUUACAGAUGGACCCGCGGCGCAUUAGCUAGUUGGUGAGGUAACGGCUCACCAAGGCAACGAUGCGUAGCCGACCUGAGAGGGUGAUCGGCCACACUGGGACUGAGACACGGCCCAGACUCCUACGGGAGGCAGCAGUAGGGAAUCUUCCGCAAUGGACGAAAGUCUGACGGAGCAACGCCGCGUGAGUGAUGAAGGUUUUCGGAUCGUAAAGCUCUGUUGUUAGGGAAGAACAAGUACCGUUCGAAUAGGGCGGUACCUUGACGGUACCUAACCAGAAAGCCACGGCUAACUACGUGCCAGCAGCCGCGGUAAUACGUAGGUGGCAAGCGUUGUCCGGAAUUAUUGGGCGUAAAGGGCUCGCAGGCGGUUUCUUAAGUCUGAUGUGAAAGCCCCCGGCUCAACCGGGGAGGGUCAUUGGAGACUGGGGAACUUGAGUGCAGAAGAGGAGAGUGGAAUUCCACGUGUAGCGGUGAAAUGCGUAGAGAUGUGGAGGAACACCAGUGGCGAAGGCGACUCUCUGGUCUGUAACUGACGCUGAGGAGCGAAAGCGUGGGGAGCGAACAGGAUUAGAUACCCUGGUAGUCCACGCCGUAUACGAUGAGUGCUAAGUGUUAGGGGGUUUCCGCCCCUUAGUGCUGCAGCUAACGCAUUAAGCACUCCGCCUGCGGAGUACGGUCGCAGG